AUGGGCCCUGUUGAUCCUGUCAUCCAUGGGGCCCUGCGCGUGACGAUAAGGGAUAGGAUCACCAGAAGACCGUCAGCUUUUAACCGUUUGACCACUUCGGCGGGACCCAUGGAAGCAUCUCGGGCCAUCCUGAGGCAAGUUUCAAAUCCCUUGGGCGGCAACCUGGCGGUACAUGUUGUCCCGGAGGCCGCAGUUUUGCAAUCCCCAAUCACAAGGCAAGAAAACUUGGCAAUGAUUGCGGUGUCUGAAUCUGCGCGGGUGGCGACAAGCGCGACAAGGGAGGACCCACCUAUCCCAGUUGCAUCUGGUGCCGUUGCAACACAGGUGGGGACAGUUUCUAGGACUGCAGUGGAGAGGACAAACACGACGACCGAGAUGGCUUUGGUGAUCGCGUCGCCUACUGGUGUGAGGGAACAGGAGUUUGAGUCACCAUUCAGCAACAAGGCAGAGGUGGAAGCCAUGAGAAACGAGACACCUGCCACAGACAAAUCUGUUGAGCCUGGGGGGAUCGAGGUUCCAAUGAUUGCCCCCACUAUUGAUUCGGCGCGCAUCGAGGAGGGUAGUGGGUGCGUGGGCGUCCAGCCACGUGCUGCUACAUGCACGAAGGAGGCUCAAGGCGACUCGGUGGGAGUGUUGCUGGCACCGGAUGUGGUGGGGCCCGGCGAGAUUGUCUGCCCCAAUGAGAGGUUGUUGCAUGAUUGCACGCAUGCACCAAUUGAUGGGUUUCAUGCAGACCGCGACAAAGGACAGCACACGUCCCCCCUAUCGGGGCUACUGUUGCUGAGGAGCAGUUUUCUGCGUCCGUGCAACAGGUGCAGGACAGGCAGGUUGCGAUUGUGGCUACUGAGUUAA
rnacentral:rRNA from 1 species